UACGGGGGGGGCAAGCGUUGUUCGGAAUUACUGGGCGUAAAGCGCGUGUAGGCGGCUUUUCAAGUCGGACGUGAAAGCCCCAGGCUUAACCUGGGAAUUGCGCUCGAUACUGUUGAGCUAGAGUGUGGAAGGGGCUACUGGAAUUCCGUGUGUAGCGGUGAAAUUCGUAGAUAUUCGGAGGAACACCAGAAGCGAAGGCGGCCAACUGGCCCGAUACUGACGCUGAGGCGCGAAAGCGUGGGGAGCAAACAGG
rnacentral:rRNA from 1 species